GGGGGAUAUUGCACAAUGGAGGAAACUCUGAUGCAGCGACGCCGCGUGAGGGAAGAAGGUUUUCGGAUUGUAAACCUCUGUCUUCGGGGACGAAACAAAUGACGGUACUCGAGGAGGAAGCCACGGCUAACUACGUGCCAGCAGCCGCGGUAAUACGUAGGUGGCAAGCGUUGUCCGGAAUUACUGGGUGUAAAGGGAGCGCAGGCGGAACUGCAAGUUGGGUGUUUAAUCUACGGGCUCAACCCGUAUCAGCAUUCAAAACUGUGGUUCUGGAGUAAUGCAGAGGUAGGCGGAAUUCCCGGUGUAGCGGUGGAAUGCGUAGAUAUAGGAAGGAACACCAGUGGCGAAGGCGACCACCUAGGCUAAUACUGACACUGAGGUGCGAAAGCGUGGGGAGCAAACA
rnacentral:rRNA from 1 species